rnacentral:rRNA from 1 species
UGGGGAAUUUUGGACAAUGGGCGAAAGCCUGAUCCAGCAAUGCCGCGUGUGUGAAGAAGGCCUUCGGGUUGUAAAGCACUUUUGUCCGGAAAGAAAUCCUUGGCUCUAAUACAGUCGGGGGAUGACGGUACCGGAAGAAUAAGCACCGGCUAACUACGUGCCAGCAGCCGCGGUAAUACGUAGGGUGCAAGCGUUAAUCGGAAUUACUGGGCGUAAAGCGUGCGCAGGCGGUUUGCUAAGACCGAUGUGAAAUCCCCGGGCUCAACCUGGGAACUGCAUUGGUGACUGGCAGGCUAGAGUAUGGCAGAGGGGGGUAGAAUUCCACGUGUAGCAGUGAAAUGCGUAGAGAUGUGGAGGAAUACCGAUGGCGAAGGCAGCCCCCUGGGCCAAUACUGACGCUCAUGCACGAAAGCGUGGGGAGCAAACAGGAUUAGAUACCCUGGUAGUCCACGCCCUAAAACGAUGUCAACUAGUUGUUGGGGAUUCAUUUCCUUAGUAACGUAGCUAACGCGUGAAGUUGACCGCCUGGGGAGUACGGUCGCAAGAUUAAAACUUAAAUGGAAUUGAC